CCUAAUACAUGCAAGUCGAGCGAACAGAUAAGGAGCUUGCUCCUUUGACGUUAGCGGCGGACGGGUGAGUAACACGUGGAUAACCUACCUAUAAGACUGGGAUAACUUCGGGAAACCGGAGCUAAUACCGGAUAACAUAUUGAACCGCAUGGUUCAAUAGUGAAAGGCGGCUUUGCUGUCACUUAUAGAUGGAUCCGCGCCGUAUUAGCUAGUUGGUAAGGUAACGGCUUACCAAGGCAACGAUACGUAGCCGACCUGAGAGGGUGAUCGGCCACACUGGAACUGAGACACGGUCCAGACUCCUACGGGAGGCAGCAGUAGGGAAUCUUCCGCAAUGGGCGAAAGCCUGACGGAGCAACGCCGCGUGAGUGAUGAAGGUCUUCGGAUCGUAAAACUCUGUUAUCAGGGAAGAACAAAUGUGUAAGUAACUGUGCACAUCUUGACGGUACCUGAUCAGAAAGCCACGGCUAACUACGUGCCAGCAGCCGCGGUAAUACGUAGGUGGCAAGCGUUAUCCGGAAUUAUUGGGCGUAAAGCGCGCGUAGGCGGUUUUUUAAGUCUGAUGUGAAAGCCCACGGCUCAACCGUGGAGGGUCAUUGGAAACUGGAAAACUUGAGUGCAGAAGAGGAAAGUGGAAUUCCAUGUGUAGCGGUGAAAUGCGCAGAGAUAUGGAGGAACACCAGUGGCGAAGGCGACUUUCUGGUCUGUAACUGACGCUGAUGUGCGAAAGCGUGGGGAUCAAACAGGAUUAGAUACCCUGGUAGUCCACGCCGUAAACGAUGAGUGCUAAGUGUUAGGGGGUUUCCGCCCCUUAGUGCUGCAGCUAACGCAUUAAGCACUCCGCCCUGGGGGAGUACGACCGCAAGGUUGAAACUCAAAGGAAUUGACGGGGACCCGCACAAGCGGUGGGAGCAUGUGGUUUAAUUUCGAAGCAACGCGAAGAACCUUACCAAAUCUUG
rnacentral:rRNA from 1 species